rnacentral:rRNA from 1 species
CCUACGGGUGGCAGCAGUGGGGAAUAUUGCGCAAUGGGCGAAAGCCUGACGCAGCGACGCCGCGUGAGGGAUGAAGGUCUUCGGAUCGUAAACCUCUGUCAGCAGGGAAGAACGGUCACUGUGUUAAUCAGCAGUGAAUUGACGGUACCUGCAAAGGAAGCACCGGCUAACUCCGUGCCAGCAGCCGCGGGAAUACGGAGGGUGAGAGCGGUGAUCGGAAUUACUGGGCGUAAAGCGCUCGUAGGCGGUAUGUCAAGUCAAGGGUGAAAUCCCCGCGCUCAACGUGGGAACUGCCUUUGAAACUGGCAAACUGGAGUGUGUGAGAGGAUAGUGGAAUUCCAGGUGUAGGAGUGAAAUCCGUAGAUAUCUGGAGGAACAUCAGUGGCGAAGGCAGCCUGCUGGACUGUAACUGACGCUGAUGCUCGAAAGUGUGGGUAUCAAACAGGAUUAGAUACCCCUGUAGUC